UGGGGAAUAUUGCACAAUGGGCGCAAGCCUGAUGCAGCAACGCCGCGUGAGGGACGACGGCCUUCGGGUUGUAAACCCCUUUUAGUAGGGAAGAAGCGAAAGUGACGGUACCUGCAGAAAAAAGCACCGGCUAACUACGUGCCAGCAGCCGCGGUAAUACGUAGGGUGCAAGCGUUGUCCGGAAUUAUUGGGCGUAAAGAGCUCGUAGGCGGUUUGUCGCGUCUGCUGUGAAAAACCCGAGGCUCAACCUCGGGCCUGCAGUGGGUACGGGCAGACUAGAGUGCGGUAGGGGAGAAUGGAAUUCCUGGUGUAGCGGUGGAAUGCGCAGAUAUCAGGAGGAACACCGAUGGCGAAGGCAGUUCUCUGGGCCGUAACUGACGCUGAGGAGCGAAAGCGUGGGGAGCGAACAGGAUUAGAUACCCUGGUAGUCCACGCUGUAAACGAUGUCGAUUUGGAGGUUGUGCCCUUGAGGCGUGGCUUCCGGAGCUAACGCGUUAAAUCGACCGCCUGGGGAG
rnacentral:rRNA from 1 species